UACGUAGGGGGCAAGCGUUGUCCGGAUUUAUUGGGCGUAAAGAGCGUGUAGGCGGCCAAGCAGGUCAGCUGUGAAAACUCGAGGCUCAACCUCGAGACGUCGGUUGAAACCGCUUGGCUAGAGUCCGGAAGAGGAGAGUGGAAUUCCCGGUGUAGCGGUGAAAUGCGCAGAUAUCGGGAAGAACACCCGUGGCGAAGGCGACUCUCUGGUCUGUAACUGACGCUGAGGCGCGAAAGCGUGGGGAGCAAACAGG
rnacentral:rRNA from 1 species